GCAAGAUGUAUGACUUUACACCCCAAUGCUACUAGAGGAGAACUUCAUUAGUCUGCAUCCCUCAGAAUCUAAGUUGAUUUUUCAGCAAACCUUCCAAGAGCAAAGGGGACACUUUCCCUUCACCCCUGCAGAAGACGUCUCCGAGGAAGUGAAACAUUGGUGGAUAUAUGAUAGAAAUCAUCAUGGUAAAGAAAGUAUUACAGUAAGACUGAAAACCAACCAUUUUGCCCAAGGGACAGACCCUCAGCUGUGACUCUGCACCUGAUCUCUGUGGCUUUGCUGAAAUGUAGCUUUAACCCUGGAGUACCCUAAAGGUGAGCACCAGCGCGAUGGAGAGGUGAGAGCACAGACUUUGGCUGUUGGCCUCAGUUUCUUCCUCUGCAGUUUGGUGUGAAGCUCAGAGAUGGUGCAUGGAGCCCCCAGAGAUAGUAGCUGGCACCUGGAGACCCAUGCCCUGCUUGGGCCACACCUCUGCUGGUGCAGGGAAACCUGGGCAACCCGAGGUGGACAGACCAGUUCUACUGGAAGCUGGUCCCCAUCACCUGUACUUUUCCCACAAAAGACUCCCUUCCUUAUCCCCUUCCUCACUCACCCACAAAAGAACCCUUUCCUUAUCCAUGACCUGUACUUUACCCACAAGAAACCCCCUUCCUUACCCACUCCCUUCCUUACUCAAUCUGGCAGGGCUCAGAUUGCAAUAAAGAAGGGUCAGUAAUCCACAAAUCCAAA